rnacentral:tRNA from 1 species
GGGGUUGUGGCUCAGUGGUAAAGUGCUCACCUAGUAUGUGUGAGGCCCUGGGUUUGAUCCUCAGCACCACA